rnacentral:misc_RNA from 1 species
GAAAUGCGAUAAGUAGUGUGAAUUGCAGAAUUCAGUGAAUCAUCGAAUCUUUGAACGCACAUUGCGCCCUUUGGUAUUCCUUAGGGCAUGCCUGUUCGAGCGUCAUUUGUAACCUCAAGCUCAGCUUGGUGUUGGGUGUCUGUCCCCGCCCCGCGCGGGGACUCGCCUCAAAAACAUUGGCGGCCGGUACGUUGGCUUCGAGCGCAGCAGAAACGCGAACUCGAGGCCCGACGGAUCGGCGACCAGAAGUCACUUCUUCCACAGCUUGACCUCGGAUCGGGUAGGGAUACCCGCUGAACUUAAGC